GAGGUUAUAUUCCACUUCUUCUGACUACACCACCACCAUCAAUCUCCUUCUCUGAACUCUUGGAUCAUUACUUCAACCUGAAACAACUCAUCAGGUAUCUAUAAAGGCAGAAUAGUUGCCUACUGCCCCAACCCCACCAAAUGUUCCAGCACCUCUGAUAUUACCUCACAUGGCAAGAGGGCUUUGAAGAUGUGAUUGAGUCAAGGAUCUUGAAUGGGGAGAUUAUCCUGAAUUAUUCAGCUGGACCCAGUGUAAUCACAAAGGUUUUUCAAAGAUGGAAGAGAGGCAGAAGAGCCAGAAAAGGAUAUGUGACAAUGGAGUCAGUGUCAGAGUUGGAGUGACGUGAUGUGAGAAGGAUUCAACCUGCUGUUUCUGGCUUUGAGGAUGAAAGAAGGGGCCAUGAGCCAAGCAAUACAGGUGGCUUCUUUCAAGAAGUUGGAAAAGAAGAGAAAAUAGUGCCAAUAAUUCUUCAUGGAGAUGCACCUCUCUCAAGUCUUGAACAAUGUUUGAGGAAAAGUGCUUUCAGCUGGGCUGAUGAGAACACCUUGG
rnacentral:lncRNA from 1 species